rnacentral:rRNA from 1 species
GCAGGGGGAUGCACGCCUUAUCCGGAAUCACUGGGCGUAAAGCGUCUGUAGGUGGUGAUGCAAGUCACUGGUGCAAAACUCUGGCUCAACCGGAGGAAAGCCAGUGAAACUGCAUGACUAGAGUGUGGGAGAGGUAGAAGGAAUUCCCUGAGUAGCGGUGAAAUGCGUAGAUACAGGGAAGAACACCGGAGGCGAAAGCGUUCUACUGGAACACAACUGACUCUGAGAGACGAAAGCUAGGGGAGCGAAUGGG